GGGGGGCCCGCACAAGCGGUGGAGCAUGUGGUUUAAUUCGAAGCAACGCGAAGAACCUUACCAGGUCUUGACAUCCUCUGACAACCCUAGAGAUAGGGCUUCUCCUUCGGGAGCAGAGUGACAGGUGGUGCAUGGUUGUCGUCAGCUCGUGUCGUGAGAUGUUGGGUUAAGUCCCGCAACGAGCGCAACCCUUGAUCUUAGUUGCCAUCAUUUAGUUGGGCACUCUAAGGUGACUGCCGGUGACAAACCGGAGGAAGGUGGGGAUGACGUCAAAUCAUCAUGCCCCUUAUGACCUGGGCUACACACGUGCUACAAUGGACGGUACAAAGAGCUGCAAGACCGCGAGGUGGAGCUAAUCUCAUAAAACCGUUCUCAGUUCGGAUUGUAGGCUGCAACUCGCCUACAUGAAGCUGGAAUCGCUAGUAAUCGCGAUCAGCUGCCGC
rnacentral:rRNA from 1 species